GGGUCGCGGCAGCCUACGUUACCCUGCGGGCUGUGGGCUUCACCCCGACUUCGGCCGGCUCGGAAAAGGGGAACUUCCUGGACCCGCAAUUGCACCUCAGGAUCAUUGAAUUGGAGGUUAAGAGGGGCUUUUCUCCAUCACUGAGGACCAGAUCGGGACUGGCCUUACUCGAGUUCUCACAGCCAGUUGACUUCAGACUGCUGUCACCAGAGCCACUGGACAUGGAUCACUUGGACCCUGUCAGCAUGCCUUCCCUUCCUCAGGGGCUGGGCACUGGGGACACAGGGCGGUGCCAGCCUUAGGGAAAACAGAGAUGAGACACUGGUCCCUGCUCUUGGGGGAUCCCCCCAAUCUAUCAUGCUCGCUGUGUCAUCCAUCAAGAUGCCUCCAGUACCCACACAAGGCCCGGCACACAGUAGCAGGCUUUCUGUGUAUAGGAACACAUGAAUCAACCAAAGGACAAAGGAAUGAACAGGUGAACAAAGGAAAGCCCAGUGAAAAACUGAAUAAUGGAAGGUAAGAAAGAAUGAAUAAAGAAAUUCAAGAACUGAUGACUGAAUAAGCAAAUGAAUGGAAGAACAAAAUAACAACAUUGCUUCUCAGGUGGGGCACCGUGACUGACUCCUGUAAUCCCAUUGCUUUGGGAGGCCGAGGCGGGCGAAUCACUUGCGGUCAGGAGAUCGAGACCAGCUUGGCCA